CCCGGUCGCAAUGGCGUGGGGGAAAUACCCGUUCCCAUUCCGAACACGGCAGUCAAGCCCCACAGCGCCGAUGGUACUGCCCCCUGCAGGGGUGGGAGAGUAGGACGUCGCCGGGA
rnacentral:rRNA from 1 species